GAUGAACGCUGGCGGCGUGCCUAAUACAUGCAAGUCGAGCGAACAGACGAGGAGCUUGCUCCUCUGACGUUAGCGGCGGACGGGUGAGUAACACGUGGAUAACCUACCUAUAAGACUGGGAUAACUUCGGGAAACCGGAGCUAAUACCGGAUAAUAUAUUGAACCGCAUGGUUCAAUAGUGAAAGACGGUUUUGCUGUCACUUAUAGAUGGAUCCGCGCCCCAUUAGCUAGUUGGUAAGGUAACGGCUUACCAAGGCAACGAUGCGUAGCCGACCUGAGAGGGUGAUCGGCAACACUGGAACUGAGACACGGUCCAGAAUCAUACGGGAGGCAGCAGUAGGGAAUCUUCCGAAAUGGGCGAAAGCUUGACGGAGCAACGCCGCGUGAGUGAUGAAGGUCUUCGGAACGUAAAACUCUGUUAUUAGGGAAGAACAAAUGUGUAAGUAACUAUGCACGUCUUGACGGUACCUAAUCAGAAAGCCACGGCUAACUACGUG
rnacentral:rRNA from 1 species